GGGAAAAAACACAGACAUCCAUCUUUCAAUAUCAGAUGAAGCUGAUUCCACUAUUCCUAAAGAGAAUUCCCCAGAUUCAUUCCCCAGGAGAGAAAGAGAAGGAAUGCCACCUUCUUCUCCAUCAAGUAAAAACACAGUUCAUUUUGAUAAACCUAAUAGGAAAUUAUCUCCUGCAUUCCAUCAAGCACUACUCUCUUUUUGUCGAAUGUCAGCAGAUAGUCGUUUAGGAUAUGAGGUGUCUCGUAUUGCAGACAGUGAAAAAAGCGUUAUGUUAAUGCUGGGACGCUGCCUGCCACACAUUGUUCCCAAUGUGCUCUUGGCAAAGAGAGAGGAGUUGAUCCCCCUCAUAUUGUGUACAGCAUGUCUACAUCCUGAGCCUAAAGAGCGAGAUCAGCUUCUCCACAUACUUUUCAAUUUGAUCAAGAGGCCAGAUGAUGAGCAAAGGCAAAUGAUACUGACAGGUUGUGUGGCAUUUGCACGUCAUGUUGGACCAACACGUGUAGAAGCUGAGCUUUUACCACAGUGUUGGGAACAGGCAUCCAAUACAUUAAUGAA
rnacentral:sRNA from 1 species